GACGAACGCUGGCGGCGCGCCUAACACAUGCAAGUCGAACGAGCGAGAGAGAGCUUGCUUUCUCAAGCGAGUGGCGAACGGGUGAGUAACGCGUGAGGAACCUGCCUCAAAGAGGGGGACAACAGUUGGAAACGACUGCUAAUACCGCAUAAGCCCACAGGUCGGCAUCGACCAGAGGGAAAAGGAGCAAUCCGCUUUGAGAUGGCCUCGCGUCCGAUUAGCUAGUUGGUGAGGUAACGGCCCACCAAGGCAACGAUCGGUAGCCGGACUGAGAGGUUGAACGGCCACAUUGGGACUGAGACACGGCCCAGACUCCUACGGGAGGGAGCAGUGGGGAAUAUUGCACAAUGGGGGAAACCCUGAUGCAGCGACGCCGCGUGGAGGAAGAAGGUCUUCGGAUUGUAAACUCCUGUUGUUGAGGAAGAUAAUGACGGUACUCAACAAGGAAGUGACGGCUAACUACGUG
rnacentral:rRNA from 1 species